ensembl:lncRNA
AGCCCAACUGGAUGUCUAGGUUGCAGGGAUUGCUGAGAAGCAGAGUGGCAGGAUUAAAACCUGAGAUUUGCCAAGGCAUGGAAUGAAGCUCCCUCCAAUCACCUGUCGCAAGAAACCAUUAUCCAGCUUCCUAACCUUAAGGAUGAGACCCUAUCAAUAUUGCCUCUGCUUUUGUGCUCAGGGUAGUAGUGCAAUAUUGCUUAUAGGGUCUUUUCUUUUGAGGGUAUUCUUCAUGGAGAGAAGACAGCCACAGCAGGAAAAAUUAAUCCUAUGUGCCCAUCGAGUUAAGGGAAAAGUUGUGAAAUACCAAGCAUUGUUAGAUAGGCAAGUAAUUGUGCAGAGAUGUUAUGUGUGACAAAUAAUCAUGCUAUUGUGGUGACUCAAGUUGUGAGUAAUGGGCAUAUUUUUGAUGCUAUCACACGGGAUUCAAAAUGGCCUUGUGUUUAAGAGGCACAAGCAGUGAUUGAAACCGCAGAAACCCAUCACGUCUCCAUUUUAAAACAGUACAAGUCCCGAGAUGUUUGAAGGGUGCCUAUUUUGCAUAACGAUGUAAACACCCACAAGGAAUGGGAGGAGAUAUAUAGCCACACUCGGCUGUUCCUGUGCCUGAAAAUCAGUGCUGCGCAAAGCAGAGCGUUGCACGAAGUGCCUGAGGCUCUAAUCCCGAUAACGUCCUCUAAACAAAGCUCACGCCUCUGCCUGGCGAACGCGGCCGGGCUCCGCAGCCCGGGCUUGGUGCAGGCAUGGCUGGGCUGGGCAUUGCCCCCAGCCUUUCCCGAGAGCUGCUUAUGGAGGUACGUGGGAAAGGAGCAGGGCCGGAGGCGUUCAAUCUCAAUCUCCUCUCGGCUUUGUGAGAAAUCAGCUGGGGGCUGACAGCAGCCGGGCUGGCGGGGUGGGUGGCCUUGCCUUCCAUUUCAG